rnacentral:rRNA from 1 species
UCAGGAUAAACGCUGGCGGCGUGCUUAACACAUAGCAAGUCGAACGGAGUAAUUCUCCCGAAGAUUGAGGAAGCUUGCUUCUGAAAGAUUCAUUGAAUACUUAGUGGCGGACGGGUGAGUAACGCGUGGGAAACCUGCCCUAUACUGGGGGAUAGCAGUUGGAAACGACUGAUAAUACCGCAUAAGCGCACAGCUUCGCAUGAAGCAGUGUGAAAAACUCCGGUGGUAUAGGAUGGUCCCGCGUCUGAUUAGCUAGUUGGUGAGGUAACGGCCCACCAAGGCAACGAUCAGUAGCCGGCCUGAGAGGGUGUACGGCCACAUUGGGACUGAGACACGGCCCAAACUCCUACGGGAGGCAGCAGUGGGGAAUAUUGGACAAUGGGGGAAACCCUGAAUCCAGCGACGCCGCGUGAACGAAGAAGUAUUUCGGUAUGUAAAGUUCUAUCAGCAGGGAAGAUAAUGACGGUACCUGACUAAGAAGCACCGGCUAAAUACGUGCCAGCCGCGGC